GGCUGGCCGUUGCGGUCCAGUCAAACAUCACAGGGAAUAAAAUGUAAGCACCAAUGUGAACACCAGUGUCAUUAGCGUAAAGUUUCCCUUGGCUUCGCGUCCCUCAGCCCUGUGAUCUGAGCAAGCUAGCUAGUGUAACGUAAUGCUGGACAGACAGAUCAUUUUCCGGCACCAUUAUAUCAGUCAUAUUUCCAAGAAGAAGAAGUGGUGUUGUCUAACUGCAAACAAACAAUAAACAAAAACAGAAGAUCAUAUGAUGCAGUGGGUUCAGUCCAUACGUAGAGAAGAUCCAUUAUUUGAAAUAACAGUCACCAUACUUGUGUAGUGCACAUUUUGAAGAGGGAGAAGUGCUAACACUAAUAUUUCUCUACUAAUAAUAUAUCAUGUAUGUGUAAACAUUUUUUAUGAAUAUAAUACUGCUGAUACAGUAGAUGCAGUUCAUGGUUUACCCUGAAAACAUUACUACACCUCAAGUUUGUGUGGCUUCACACUUUUUUCAGUGAUCUGUAGCUCUGAGCUCAUAUUACCUCUUCUCUGUCUACUACAUUGGAUACUGCGACUAUGACAGGGAUA